CUACUACACCUGUUGUAUUCAGCAUUUCACUGUAAGGUCUACUACACCUGUUGUAUUCAGCAUUUCACUGUAAGGUCUACUACACCUGUUGUAUUCAGCAUUUCACUGUAAGGUCUACUACACCUGUUGUAUUCAGCAUUUCACUGUAAGGUCUACUACACCUGUUGUAUUCAGCAUUUCACUGUGAGGUCUACUACACCUGUUGUAUUCAUCAUUUCACUGUAAGGUCUACUACACCUGUUGUAUUCAUCAUUUCACUGUAAGGUCUACUACACCUGUUGUAUUCAGCAUUUCACUGUAAGGUCUACUACACCUGUUGUAUUCAUCAUUUCACUGUAAGGUCUACUACACCUGUUGUAUUCAGCAUUUCACUGUAAGGUCUACUACACCUGUUGUAUUCAGCAUUUCACUGUAAGGUCUACUACACCUGUUGUAUUCAGCAUUUCACUGUAAGGUCUACUACACCUGUUGUAUUCAGCAUUUCACUGUAAGGUCUACUACACCUGUUGUAUUCAGCAUUUCACUGUGAGGUCUACUACACCUGUUGUAUUCAUCAUUUCACUGUAAGGUCUACUACACCUGUUGUAUUCAGCAUUUCACUGUAAGGUCUACUACACCUGUUGUAUUCAGCAUUUCACUGUAAGGUCUACUACACCUGUUGUAUUCAGCAUUUCACUGUAAGGUCUACUACACCUGUUGUAUUCAGCAUUUCACUGUAAGGUCUACUACACCUGUUGUAUUCAUCAUUUCACUGUAAGGUCUACUACACCUGUUGUAUUCAGCAUUUCACUGUAAGGUCUACUACACCUGUUGUAUUCAUCAUUUCACUGUAAGGUCUACUACACCUGUUGUAUUCAGCAUUUCACUGUAAGGUCUACUACACCUGUUGUAUUCAGCAUUUCACUGUAAGGUCUACUACACCUGUUGUAUUCAGCAUUUCACUGUAAGGUCUACUACACCUGUUGUAUUCAUCAUUUCACUGUAAGGUCUACUACACCUGUUGUAUUCAGCAUUUCACUGUAAGGUCUACUACACCUGUUGUAUUCAGCAUUUCACUGUAAGGUCUACUACACCUGUUGUAUUCAUCAUUUCACUGUAAGGUCUACUACACCUGUUGUAUUCAGCAUUUCACUGUAAGGUCUACUACACCUGUUGUAUUCAGCAUUUCACUGUAAGGUCUACUACACCUGUUGUAUUCAUCAUUUCACUGUAAGGUCUACUACACCUGUUGUAUUCAUCAUUUCACUGUAA